ACGUAGGGUGCAGGCGUUAAUCGGAAUUACUGGGCGUAAAGCGUGCGCAGGCGGUCUCUUAAGACAGGUGUGAAAUCCCCGGGCUUAACCUGGGAACUGCGCUUGUAACUGAGAGGCUUGAGUGUGCCAGAGGGGGGUGGAAUUCCACGUGUAGCAGUGAAAUGCGUAGAUAUCGGGAGGACCACCAGUGGCGAAGGCGACUACCUGGCCUGUUUCUUGACGCUGAGGCGCGAAAGCUAGGGGAGCAAACGGG
rnacentral:rRNA from 1 species